CCUACGGGUGGCAGCAGUGGGGAAUAUUGGACAAUGGGGGAAACCCUGAUGCAGCAACGCCGCGUGAAGGAAGACGGUUUUCGGAGUGGAAACUUCUGUUCUUAGGGAAGAAAAAUGACGUUAGCGAAGGCGCAAGCAACGGCUCAGUACGCGACAGCAGCCGCGGCAACACGGAGGCGGCAAGCGUUGUCCGGAAUUAAUGGGUGUAAAGGGAGCGCAGGCGGGAAGCCAAGUCAGCUGUGAAAACUACGGGCUUAACUUGUAGACUGCAGUUGAAACUGGUUUUCGUGAGUGAAGUAGAGGUAAGCGGAAUUCGCGGUGUAGCGGUGAAAUGCGUAGAUAUUGGGAGGAACACCGGUGGCGAAGGCGGCCAACUGGGC
rnacentral:rRNA from 1 species